UUUAAUGUCAUUUCUGCAAUAGUUUGCUACUUUGAACACAUUGAAAGUGAGCGUGCGUUUGAUUCCGGGGCGUGUUAUAAUCGGGUAAAUACUGCUAAAUGAAUCAGUAGUUUGUUGUAGCGUUUUCGUGCAUCUUGUUUAGUUCGAUCCACCGGAUAAUUCUAUAUAUUUUGUCGGUCCCAUCAAGGUCGAAUUAACCGAAGUCGACUGUACUAUGCGGCUGCACUCAGCAGCAGCU
rnacentral:lncRNA from 1 species